GGAGGUUUAAGUCAAGGUAUAAACUGUGUGGUUCAUGUUCACAAACUAUGAUUUGGUUGCCUCCU
rnacentral:tRNA from 1 species